UACGUAGGGGGCUAGCGUUGUCCGGAAUCAUUGGGCGUAAAGCGCGCGUAGGCGGCCCGGUCAGUCCGCUCUGAAAGUCCAGGGCUCAACCCUGGAAUGCGGGUGGAUACUGCCGGGCUAGAAUCCGGAAGAGGCGAGUGGAACUCCUGGUGUAGCGGUGGAAUGCGCAGAUAUCAGGAAGAACACCAAUAGCGAAGGCAGCUCGCUGGGACGGUAUUGACGCUGAGGCGCGAAAGCGUGGGGAG
rnacentral:rRNA from 1 species